UACAGAGGUGGCAAGCGUUGUUCGGAAUUACUGGGCGUAAAGGGCGCGUAGGCGGCCUUCUAAGUCAGACGUGAAAUCCCCCGGCUUAACCUGGGAACUGCGUCUGAUACUGGGAGGCUUGAGUAUGGGAGAGGGAUGUAGAAUUCCAGGUGCAGCGGUGAAAUGCGUAGAUAUCUGGAGGAAUACCGGUGGCGAAGGCGGCAUCCUGGACCAUUACUGACGCUGAGGCGCGAAAGCUAGGGGAGCAAACGGG
rnacentral:rRNA from 1 species